CCGACGGCUCUUCCGACUAACGACGGCAAGGAAAACACUGAACAGACUCGAGUCACUGACCUCGCCAGACUGUCCGACGACCGAUAAUCGGGUUGGUGUGUCAGCGCCUUAAAAAACUCCACUGAUUGUCAAAAUAUAUUGUCUUCUGAAACAGGACUGCAUUGAGUGGACUGAACUUAAACCUGUAGUCAACACAGUGGAUAAGGUUCAAACAUAUAGCUUCCAGUGUGACGCAGGUCACUUUGAAUGCAGCGUGUCUGCCCUGCGCUGGGUUUGUGAAGAAAAGCUCAGCUUCAGAUUCCAGUUCUGCUCAUGGGACGAGCACAGGGUGAGGCUUUCAGCCACAGCUUACAUGCCAGCAGGACCCCUACUGGACAUCACAGUCACAGCUGGCAAGAUGGAGGAGGUGCAGCUGCCACACUGGAUCUGUGUAGAUCACAAAUCCAAAAUGUCAGAUAAUUUUGCAGUUCUACAUAUUGAUACCUGUGGAGAUGUGUGGAGGGAAGUGUCUGAAGUGACACGGUGCCACGUCAAGUUACUCCAGCCGACGUUCUCACUAAUAAGUGUUGCGUUCCGGUGGUUAACUGGCCCCCCGGGGGAAAGUGUUCUAUAACGUGUUGAUAUACAUGAAGAAACACCAAGCUGCCCUUACACUGCAUGUUUACCUGCGGCCACCUGAUGAAUCCCGGA